rnacentral:rRNA from 1 species
UACGAAGGGAGCUAGCGUUGUUCGGAAUCACUGGGCGUAAAGCGCACGUAGGCGGAUGUGUCAGUCAGGGGUGAAAUCCCGGAGCUCAACUUCGGAACUGCCUUUGAUACAGCACGUCUUGAGUCCGAUAGAGGUGGGUGGAAUUCCUAGUGUAGAGGUGAAAUUCGUAGAUAUUAGGAAGAACACCGGUGGCGAAGGCGGCCCACUGGAUCGGUACUGACGCUGAGGUGCGAAAGCGUGGGGAGCAAGCAGG